rnacentral:rRNA from 1 species
UACGUAGGGGGCAAGCGUUGUCCGGAAUCAUUGGGCGUAAAGAGCUCGUAGGCGGCUGUUCAAGUCGGACGUGAAAACUCGGAGCUCAACUCCGAGCCUGCGUUCGAUACUGGCGUGCUUGAGGACUGGAGAGGAGACUGGAAUUCAUGGUGUAGCAGUGAAAUGCGUAGAGAUCAUGAGGAAGACCAGUGGCGAAGGCGGGUCUCUGGACAGUUCCUGACACUGAGACACGAAGGCCAGGGGAGCAAACGGG